UACGUAGGGUGCAAGCGUUGUCCGGAUUUACUGGGCGUAAAGAGCGCGUAGGCGGUCUGUUAAGUGAGAAGUGAAAGCUCUGGGCUCAACCCAAAAAUUGCUUUUCAUACUGGCAGACUGGAGUGAUGCAGAGGUUUGUGGAAUUCCUGGUGUAGCGGUGAAAUGCGUUGAUAUCAGGAGGAACACCGAUGGCGAAGGCAGCAAACUGGGCAUUAACUGACGCUGAGGCGCGAAAGCGUGGGUAGCAAACAGG
rnacentral:rRNA from 1 species